GACGAACCGUGCGAACGUUGUUCGGAAUCACUGGGCUUAAAGGGCGCGUAGGCGGCCACGCAAGUUCGGGGUGAAAUCUUUCGGCUUAACCGGAAAAUAGCUUCGGAUACUGCGUGGCUGGAGGAAGGUAGGGGCGGUUGGAACUUCCGGUGGAGCGGUGAAAUGCGUUGAUAUCGGAAGGAACGCCGGUGGCGAAAGCGAACCGCUGGACCUUUUCUGACGCUGAGGCGCGAAAGCCAGGGGAGCAAACGG
rnacentral:rRNA from 1 species